rnacentral:tRNA from 1 species
UAGCAUAGUUUAACUAAAACACUAGGAUGUGGCCCUAGAAACAGAGACUUACCCCCU